CACACGACAGGAGAAGAUGCCAUCAUGUUCCUGUCUUGUGACAGCGGCAGAGGUAAUACAAAAUUGCAAAGACAAUUGCCGUCUGCCUGCCUCUCUCAGGCCAUACUGCAAUCAUUUUUAAGAAAUAAUCCAAUUUUAGUCCUCGCUGAAAACUGAGCUCUGAGUACAUUACCAUGUGUUCGACCAGAGCUUACGUGACAUACUAUGUAAAUCCAGUUGUGUUCAAUGAAAAUCCAAAGAUUAGAUUACAUUAUCAGUGGCUUUCUUAGAUCUCCGAUCCUGAUGAAAUUGUUGCCCAGCGUGUGUAAUGUCACAUUCACCGAGUGAGUCUACUAGCUACUUUCGUUCUGUGAGUCUUAUUUUUUUGUCUAUUUCAUAGUAUGACUAGUGCUCUUUUGAAAGGUGCAUGUCAUUUUCUCAAUUGUUUCUUCUAUUCACUGUCUAUGUGCUUUCAAUCAAGUUAUAAUCAAGGAGAACCAGAUUUACCAUCUCCACAUUAUAAACACUUCACUAAUCACCACCACCCUUUCCCUCUUUUGAUUAUUUUGCAUCACCUAUUUGACUCAUGUUAAUUGGGAAAAAUUGAAUGGAUAUGGAUGCUCUUAAGAAUAAUUAUUGCCGGUUUAGUUUCCUGAUUGUAAUAGAAAACACACAUUCUAACGAAUUAAUUGAGGAGUGAGAUAUUGUCAUGUUACGUGAAUUGAUGUUGAUUCAACAAAUAUUCAAACAAACACUUAUUCCACGCCAGACCAUCUUAUGUUUCAUCAGUACACUUGCAUUAUAAGUAGCAUUAAGAGCCUUCUUCGUCGGAGCUGGGUUAUAUUCACUGUCGUCACUUGCUUCGCAAAGAAAAUGUUGUUGCUGACUGUUUGGCCAAACUUGGAUCAACCCACUCGAGUGUUAUUUCCUUUUGGAGUUCUCAUGUGGCUGGGGUUAUGUCCCUGUUGCAAGCUGAUUCGCUUGGAGUGGCUUUAUUAAGGCCUUAAUUUCUUAUGUCUUUUCUUCUUUUCUUUGCUGUUGUUAUAAAAAAAACAAACACUUAGUGUAAAAUUCAUGUUGAACCAAACAUGACAAAAUUUUGUUUAUCAAUCUAGGGGUUGAGGUGUGAGCUUUUCAACAAUGUUAGAUUUUAUUAGCAUUAUUUAACCUAUUUAUACCAAAAGUAGUGUUUAUUAUCUAUUCAUAUUUGUUCUUUUUCUUUCUAUUGUAACUUAGACUUAUAUUUGAUUCUAAUGAAACUCUAGCACAAUUAUUCUGUCGUUGGUUUCUCUCUUCAUCUCAUGCCCAUUUGCAUUGGUAUUAGAGUAAGAUUGGUUAUUGGGAAAGCUUUUGCGGAUCACUAGAGUUGCGUAGUUUACUUAGAAUUUGAUUCUCUAGUGGUUCUUCCACCGAUCAUCUACCAUAAAUUUUUGCAUUUUCCUAAGGGAUUCUCCUAUUUCUUAUAAAAGUAAGAAGCAAAGAGUUAUUUCUCGAUUUUCUACAUAAGCUGAGUAUCGUGUCAUGACAUCUGCUACUGUCGAAAUUGUUUAGUUGCGCGGGCUACUUGACUCUAUAAGUUUCUUUCUGUACCAAUUCCUAUGUAUUGUAUUUGUAAUGAUAUGAAGGUCACACAAAUCACUUGCAACUCUGUCUUUAGUGAACACACCAAACACGUCGAGAUUGAUUGUCAUUUCACUAGACAUCACUUUCAUUAGGGAAUCAUCACUUUUUCCUUUGUGUCUUCCUUCAUGCAAAUUGCUGAUGUGUUUAUAAAGUUGCAUUCAACUAUACUUUUUUUUUCUUAAUUAGCAAACUCUUGAUGCAUCAUGAGUCUAAGGGGAAAUUAUGUAUAGUCCUUUAACAUUAACCGUUCAUAUUUGUUCAUUCCUCUUUGUAAUAACCUAAACUCAUAUUUGAUUCUAGUGAAACUCUAGCACAAUUAUUCUCUCUUUUGUUUCUCUCUUUUCAUCUUCUUCCCCUUUGUAUUAUCUAAACAAACACAAAUGGAAAAUCAAACGUGCACUUAAUUUCACCCCAUGUCAUUGUUAAGUGCUUUAUAUUCUUAUCCAAUGUUAGAAGUCCCACAUUGGCUAGAGAUAAGGCCAAUCGAGCUAGCUUUUGUGGUUGAGUAUAGGCCUCCCAAUUUCUAAUAUGGUAUCAGAGCCUAUCCUAGAUCCAUUUGUUGUUUGUUGUGGAGACUUCUCAUAUUUGGGGCACCCGUUGUUGUUGUUCCCAUGUUCCAGGUUGUUCAGUCCUGGACGUGAGGGGGUGUGUUAGAAGUCCCACAUUGGCUAGAGAUAGAGCAUAGAUAGCCUUUAUAAGGGUAGUGCAAACCUUAACUCUUGAGCUAGCUUUUGUGGUUGAGUAUAGGCCUCCCAAUUUCUAAUAUGGUAUCAGAGCCUAUCCUAGAUCCAUUUGUUGUGGAGACCACCCAUAUUUGGGCCACCCGUUGUUGAUCCCACGUUCCAGUCUGUUCAAUCCUGGACGUGAGGGGGUGUGUUAGAAGUCCCACAUUGGCUAGAGAUAGAGCCAAGAUAAGCUUUAUAAGGGUAGUGCAAACCUCAACUCUUGAGCUAGCUUUUGUGGUUGAGUAUAGGCCUCCCAAUUUCUAAUAUGGUAUCAGAGCCUAUCCUAGAUCCAUUUGUUGUGGAGACCUCCCAUUUUUGGGCCACCCGUUGUUGAUCCCACGUUUCAGUCUGUUCAAUCCUGGACGUGAGGGGGUGUGUUAGAAGUCCCACAUUGGCUAGAGAUAAGGCCAAUCGAGCUAGCUUUUGUGGUUGAGUAUAGGCCUCCCAAUUUCUAAUAUGGUAUCAGAGCCUAUCCUAGAUCCAUUUGUUGUUUGUUGUGGAGACUUCUCAUAUUUGGGGCACCCGUUGUUGUUGUUCCCACGUUCCAGGUUGUUCAGUCCUGGACGUGAGGGGGUGUGUUAGAAGUCCCACAUUGGCUAGAGAUAGAGCAUAGAUAGCCUUUAUAAGGGUAGUGCAAACCUUAACUCUUGAGCUAGCUUUUGUGGUUGAGUAUAGGCCUCCCAAUUUCUAAUAUCCAAAUUCAGCAUGGACAAAGUUUUCCUUUUAAAAAAGUAUUAUAAAAUUUCUUAGAAGGCCACUUGCCAUGUGAUAAAAAAACGCAAAAGAAGAAAAACCAAAGUGAUAAUUAAUCUUGGGCCAUAGUCCAUAUGGACAGAUCAUAAAACAGAUAUACCCGGCAACUACAGAUCUUUUCACUGUCCCAUUCAUGUCUCUGGUUGCUGAUUUUUGUGAUUUUCAGUUUUGUCACCCACAAUAAAGCAGUUACAGAUGGUGGGCACAAGUAAAACAACCUUACACCCUUCGAUCCCUAUCUGAAAUCCCUGCUUGUCUUGUGUCAUUGGAAGAAGACCUCAGAAGAAGCUUUGAAUGUGGGCCCUUAAUUACAGAUUGGCAAGCAACUUCAUGCUUAUUAUUAUUCAAUGUGAAGGGUAUUGGGAUAGGAAAAUGUUUGAGGAAUACUCAGGGUGUAGGCACCUAAUGUGAAAAAGUAGCACUACAAAAAAACUGUCAUUUAGUGGGGGGUUUUUAACGGGGGUUCCCGCAAAUGUCGUUAACUUUUUAAAGUUAAGGGGGGUUUUACUAAACCCCGUAAUUAACUCGCGGAUUUUUUCUAAUUUUCCCUCGUUUAUUUCACAUCCCUUUCCUAAUUACCUCUCUCACGACUCACACCUCUCAUCUCUCUGCAACUCUCACCAUGAAACCCUAGAUCUAGCAACCGAUCGUUGUUUCUCCACUCUCUUCUCUCACCGAUCGUUCUCUCUCUUCUCUCACGGAUUUUUGUUUUCGAGCGCAGAAUCAGUUCUUGAAGAGCGAUUGAGUUCGAUUCACUGCUCAACUGUUUCAUGGCUUCACUGCUCAAAGGUUGGUUCAUUCUUCUUCAACCCUCUUUCUUCGUCAAUCGUUCCUUCAAUUUCAGCAUUUUCUGUUCUCUGAUUUGGUUUCGCUGCAUGCGUUUUCGAUUCUCUCUGCAACCUUCGCUGUUGCUGUUGUAACAGUUUCGAAUCAUUUGAAAAUUGUUUGAUACUAUCUAUGGAAUUUUUAGUUUGCGUUGGGAGUAGAUACCUAAUUUUCUUGGUAUUUUUAUCCUGGUUUCUGAGGCAUACACACUGUUCGGUUAAUUGAUUGCCUGAAUUUAUAAGCAUAUUACCAUUGAAGUUUUAAUGCCUAUAAACUGUUCGACAAAAUUCCUGACUGGUUUUCUCUCUUUCCCUUCAUGUCUCCGUUGAGUUUUUUGAUGCGAAUCAAGUCAGUAUGAUGCUUGCUGAUGGUGUUCCGAGAACGCUGAGAAGCUGGAUUGAAAUGGGACUCCGGGUUUGAACAAUCUAACUUUCCUUUAUGCUAUGUCGAUUUGAUGGUUUUUGUCACUCGUAAUGGAACAUGAAAAUCUGAAUAUGCUAUGUCGAUUUGUCGCUUGAAUGAUUGUCAAAUCUUAAAUAGCUGAAAUAUUAGACUUGUGAGUUAACAUGUUAGCUUUGAUGAAAUCUGACAUAUCCUAUUAAUACUAUUACUCAAAAAAUAAUGAGUACUGAAACUUCCACAUGGUGGAUAAACAGGUUCUAAGCUAUGACUUUGUCUAUUGGAAGCUUGGGUACAUCCAUUGUUUCUUCAUGAUAUAGUUUCUACUUAAAUUUCAUUGAGUUGAUUUGUCUUUCAAAGCCAAUAGCUUAUCGUUGUGACCACCAGUGCAUAUGGCACCAUACAUGAAUUUCCAUGAUUCCGUAGUUUCUUUUAUAGCAUUAGUAAAAAAUGUUUUAAUGUUGCUUACUUGGAUUCAGGUUAUGUACACUUAACCCUUGACAUGCAAUUAUUAGUAAAAAAUGUGAAACUGAGGCUGCGAGUCAGGUUAACUUCAUUACCUUCAUAAAACCUAGAGCAUAAAUUUCAUAAACCUGUUACAUGGAUGAUAUCACUUUGCAUUUUCCAUGUAACAACUAUGCAAUAUACACUAUUAUAAUGAGAUUCCUGAUGAUGGAACCACUUUAAGCUUAGUGGGACAAAUUUAACUUUAUCCUCAUACUUGCCUAAAAAAUGACAAACAAAUCAGCACAUAUUUUUUUGAAGAAUCCAUUACAUGCCUAUGCUUUGAUAGUAGCUUUUAGAUGUUAGAGUAUAUAUGAUUUGGCUUCUUUUCCUAAUAUUCUCUCAGUUCUCAUUGCUUUGUGAUAGUAUGUGUGAUUGCUUGGACUUGUUAACAAAUAAGUUGGAUGAACACAGCCAGGAUGAGGAGACGAAUGGAAGAUUGUCUGGUAUUAGUAUAUUCUCUUCCAGUAAUGAACCAGCCUAUAUGGAUACUGUGUAUCCUGUUUUCAGGAAUUGGAUGAGGGGCUCAUGAAGGUUAAGGAGAUGGAGAUGAAAGACUUUGAGAUGUUAGCCGAUAAGUUCAACGACCUACUACUUUCCUUGAUACAACAGACCAACGAUCUUAGUGGGAUAUGCCGCAAACACCGGUGAAGUCACCGGUUUUCCAAGGGUCGUGAAUGAAUGGAGAUAUGCUUAAGCUAGAUGGAUCGAAAGAGGAAACGAAAUGAAGUAUUCAAACUGCUGCUGCUGUAUUUUGGAAGAAACUCUCAGCAAAGUAUUUAUCUAACUCUAGUCUAUUCUGUCAAUAUAUGUAGGUAUUUAUUGGUUAACUUAGAUGAACUUGGUUUGCACAUGGUAGUAUAACAAAGAAAUGCUCUCUUACUGAGGUUCUGUACUUUUGCACAUUUAGUUGAUUUUGAGUAUUAUUACUAUCACCAAUUAGUUAAG